UAAGUCAGGGAUCUGCUUUCU
rnacentral:piRNA from 1 species